AUUAGGAGUAUUUAAUGUUUCACUUCAUGGACACACACUUAAUUUGAAAACCCUAGAUAAAACAUGCAGUAAAAUGGGGAGAAAGAAGUGGUUUCCUGGAUACUUAAUGAUGAAACAUGGGAUGCUCAUGAUAAGCAAAAAUUAAAAAUGACUUUUCAGUCCUUUGAAAUUCUAUCUAAUGUAUAAUGGCUGGAGAGCUUGGCUCUGUCUAAAAAGUCACCAGCACCUGAAUUAUAAAUAAAAAAAAUUAGAAAUAAUUUAAUUUACUUUCAAAUAAUAAAUAAUCUUUGAAGGAAAAAAGAAACCCUUACAGCAAUUUAUUUUUUUUUAAUGAAAGGGGGUAUUUGUAGUUACUUUAGCAUCCACCUUUUUUCUGUAAAAGGGGAAUUAAACUAUUACAGGACACCUUGUUAAGUAAUUAUACAGCAGCAUCACAGUGCAAUUAAAUAGCCAUCAGUCCCCGCAGCUGAGAAAUUCCAGGUAAUUAUUCAAAGAUAAUUUAAUAGGAGAAUUACUGUAUUCAAGCAAGGAUUAGCAAGUAAUCUACCUCAAUUAAAGCAUCCAAUUAAUUUCAGAGCCUCGAUAACAGUUGCCUUUGGCAAAAUGAUCCUUCCCUUCAUUUGAUCCUGCAUAGGCAAUAUUCCUUAAACACUGUGUAAAAUUAAUUUACUUCUUCUAAAAGUACAGUCUAUUAAUAGCAGCCUCCUGAGAAAUUAAACAGAUGCAAGAGUAACAACGGCGUCUUCCCGCCUGCUUGCUUGUGCCUUUUCCCCCCCAGUCUUCUGUGCAGAAACAAAACACAGCCAACUCGGACCUGUUAGUCCCAGCGUGCAUCACCAAGUGCAGGAAAACCUGCCAGUGAUGGAGAGUUCCUGAAGACAAUUUUGUUGCUGGACUGAUUAACUCAGCGGACAGACUGUCUGUGGGAACUCUGUCUCUGGGAAUCUGAUGGUCAUGUGGCCGGGAUGACGACUGGGCAAGUAUGGAGACUUUAGUGGGUGGGGUUUCCUCCGUUGAGUUUCUUUCAGAUUGCUGCAGAAAGCCCUCAGCAUUGGGACACAAAGAGAGGUUUGGAUGCUCUGGGAGGACCUUUCACUGUCUCAAACUGUCUCUUAACAGCAGCCUUUCAGUUCUGCCUCACUCACGGUUUCUCUGGGAGCCAGCUUCCACUAUUUCCUCAAGUGGACAACAAACUGAAACUGUAGGCAACAGGUUUUUAGCCCAGUACACAGGAUUCUGGAACUCUCUUUCAUUCUUUUGAGAGCAAAGGCUGUAGGAGGCUAUGAGCUAGAAUUAUAUCGCUCAGCUGAGGUAAGCAAACUGGGCCAUGCAGAUGCCCAGUCCAUCCGGUCUGUUUAUAGCAUCUGUACAUGCACACAUACAUGUAUGCAUAUAUACUUACACACAUAUGGGAUAGAUAGGUACAUACAAACAGAUGAUAGACAGUAGACAGAUGAUGGGUGGGAGGUGCAUGACUCAUGGCAAUGCAGAGAGAUUAACAUGAAUGCCCUGUGUUUAUACUCUCACCACCUGAAUAGGUAACUCUGGCCAGUCCACUCCUAGUGUUUAACUCUCCAAAGUUCUACUAGUUCCAAAGCCCAGAGUUUGUCCCACAGAAUACAGAACUUGACAGUGCUGUAGGAGUCAAGAAUGAGCCACAAACAACAUGUGCUCAGCAAGCAGCAAAUGCUUGCAAGUGGUUACGGACUCCACAGCAUUUGACAUUACUUUGUUAGGGCUCCCUGUCCUUGUAUUGUCACAGCAAUACAAGAAAACGUGUAUUGAUCAUGCACGUGGCUCCCUCUUUUAUCAAUGAACUUUGACUACAAUUUCAAAGUUGUACUUUUUAGGUAAAGACUGCAAAUGAAUUUCACACUGCCUGGUGUUGUCUGUGGAGCAGGUCUGAUGUCACCCAGGGCUUAUGACACCCUAAAGGUACCUGGUCCUUACUUGGCACAAAGCACAUACAUAUAUCAUUGAGCUUGUUUGCAUAUUUUCACAAUGACCAAGCUGGACUUUUUUUUUUUUUAAGUUUUCUGUGUAUGGGUGUGGGCAGACAUGUGUGCAUGUUUUGUGGACAUGUGUGUGGAGGCAGAGGUUGUUGUCCAAUGUCUUCCUCAAUCGCCAUCUAUCUUACUUUUUGAGAUAAGGCCUAUUCACUGAAAUUGGAACUCAAGGUAUUUGCUGGCCAGUCAGCUCCAGAGAUUCCCGCCCCCCAUUCAAGGAUCUGGCAUGCACCCCCAAACCUGGCUUUUUACACA
ensembl:lncRNA